GUCCACGCCGUAAACGAUGAAUACUAGGUGUCGGGAGUCAAAUCUCGGUGCCGGCGCUAACGCAUUAAGUAUUCCGCCUGGGGAGUACGCUCGCAAGAGUGAAACUCAAAGGAAUUGACGGGACCCGCACAAGCAGCGGAGCAUGUGGUUUAAUUCGAAGCAACGCGAAGAACCUUACCAAAUCUUGACAUCCCAAUGAUCACAUUUUAAUCAAUGUUUCCCUUCGGGGCAUUGGAGACAGGUGGUGCAUGGUUGUCGU
rnacentral:rRNA from 1 species